GACUGGGUGGCUCAGUCGGUUGAGCAUCUGGCUUGGGCUCAGGUCAUGAUCUCACAGUUUGUGGGUUUAAGCCCCACAUCGGGCU
rfam:Felis catus isolate Cinnamon breed Abyssinian chromosome C2, whole genome shotgun sequence.